UCCUGGAAAUCUCGGCCCAAAAAAGGACGUUUAGUAAUUCUAAAAGGGACUACAAGAUGAAAAACAAUAGUUUUGCCAGUUAAAGUUUGAGAUUCGAUGGUGCCGUAGAUCCGUUUGGUCAUCAGGUGUUACGAGCCACACCCAUGUCUAGCUAGAAUAGUGUGUCAGGCUCAGGCUAGAGAAGAAACAGGGUACAAACUGAUGAAAGAAUUAUCAUACCGAGGGAAUUCACUCAGAACUAACAAGAAUGAUAACGUGCUCCGACUGGAGCGGUUUAGGAACUGCUGGAAACCUCUAGGGGAAUAAAGAUGGAAUGACUUCUAAUUUUUAGGUCCGUAUGGUUUGAAAUACUUGCACACAAACCGCCCGAAAGCAUUCCUAGAAAUCUCGGCCCAAAAAAUGACGUUUAGUAAUUCUAAAUGGGAAUACAAGAUGAAAAACAAUAGUUUUGGCAGUUAAAGUUUGAGAUUCGAUGGUGUCGUAGAUCCAUUUGGUCAUCAGGUGUUACGAGCCACACCCAUGUCUAGCUAGAAUAGUGUGUCAGGCUCAGGCUAGAGAAGAAACGGGGAACAAACUGAUGAAAGAAUUAUCAUAACGAGGGAAUUCA
rnacentral:lncRNA from 1 species